GACGAACGCUGGCGGCGUGCCUAAUACAUGCAAGUUGAGCGAUGAAGAUUGGUGCUUGCACCAAUUUGAAGAGCAGCGAACGGGUGAGUAACGCGUGGGGAAUCUGCCUUUGAGCGGGGGACAACAUUUGGAAACGAAUGCUAAUACCGCAUAACAACUUUAAACAUAAGUUUUAAGUUUGAAAGAUGCAAUUGCAUCACUCAAAGAUGAUCCCGCGUUGUAUUAGCUAGUUGGUGAGGUAAAGGCUCACCAAGGCGAUGAUACAUAGCCGACCUGAGAGGGGGAUCGGCCACAUUGGGAACGAGACACGGCCCAAACUCCUACGGGAGGCAGCAGUAGGGAAUCUUCGGCCAUGGACGAAAGUCUGACCGAGCAACGCCGCGUGAGUGAAGAAGGUUUUCGGAUCGUAAAACUCUGUUGGUAGAGAAGAACGUUGGUGAGAGUGGAAAGCUCAUCAAGUGACGGUAACUACCCAGAAAGGGACGGCUAACUACGUG
rnacentral:rRNA from 1 species